rnacentral:tRNA from 13 species
GCCACUAUACCUCAGUGGUUAGAGCACUGGUCUUCUAAAACCAGGGUCGCGAGUUCAAUCCUCACUGUGGCU